CGCGGCCUAUCAGCUUGUUGGUGGGGUAAUGGCCUACCAAGGCGACGACGGGUAGCCGGCCUGAGAGGGUGACCGGCCACACUGGGACUGAGACACGGCCCAGACUCCUACGGGAGGCAGCAGUGGGGAAUAUUGCACAAUGGGCGCAAGCCUGAUGCAGCGACGCCGCGUGAGGGAUGACGGCCUUCGGGUUGUAAACCUCUUUCAGUAGGGAAGAAGCCGUGAGGUGACGGUACCUGCAGAAGAAGCGCCGGCUAACUACGUGCCAGCAGCCGCGGUAAUACGUAGGGCGCAAGCGUUAUCCGGAAUUAUUGGGCGUAAAGAGCUCGUAGGCGGUUUGUCGCGUCUGCUGUGAAAGACCGGGGCUCAACUCCGGUUCUGCAGUGGGUACGGGCAGACUAGAGUGCAGUAGGGGAGACUGGAAUUCCUGGUGUAGCGGUGAAAUGCGCAGAUAUCAGGAGGAACACCGAUGGCGAAGGCAGGUCUCUGGGCUGUAACUGACGCUGAGGAGCGAAAGCAUGGGGAGCGAACAGGAUUAGAUACCCUGGUAGUCCAUGCCGUAAACGUUGGGCACUAGGUGUGGGGGACAUUCCACGUUUUCCGCGCCGUAGCUAACGCAUUAAGUGCCCCGCCUGGGGAGUACGG
rnacentral:rRNA from 1 species